rnacentral:rRNA from 1 species
AUUGAACGCUGGCGGCAUGCCUUACACAUGCAAGUCGAACGGCAGCACGGACUUCGGUCUGGUGGCGAGUGGCGAACGGGUGAGUAAUGUAUCGGAACGUACCUUUCAGUGGGGGAUAACGUAGCGAAAGUUACGCUAAUACCGCAUAUUCUGUGAGCAGGAAAGCAGGGGAUCGAAAGACCUUGCGCUGAUUGAGCGGCCGAUAUCAGAUUAGCUAGUUGGUGGGGUAAAGGCCUACCAAGGCGACGAUCUGUAGCGGGUCUGAGAGGAUGAUCCGCCACACUGGAACUGAGACACGGUCCAGACUCCUACGGGAGGCAGCAGUGGGGAAUUUUGGACAAUGGGGGCAACCCUGAUCCAGCCAUGCCGCGUGAGUGAAGAAGGCCUCCGGGUUGUAAAGCUCUUUCGGCCGGGAAGAAAUCGCAUAGGCUAAUACCCUGUGUGGAUGACGGUACCGGAAUAAGAAGCACCGGCUAACUACGUG